AGGAGCAAGAAGCCUGGACAAUCCGGCCAGUUUCCAAAAUUAAAGGGCAGCGCUGUCAAGGCUCUUGGCUCAUUCAGCAGCAAGUUCCGUCCACCGAAGGCCCCUAAGCCUACAGAGCUUUCUAAAAUACCAACUAAGCUCCCUCCAGUUCAUCCAGUACCAACACAACCUCCUAAAGUUGGCAGGUCAAAACCAGGACCAAAAAAGGAUUUUGAUUGCAGCUGGUAUGGAGGACAGGUGACCAGAC